GACGAACGCUGGCGGCGUGCUUAACACAUGCAAGUCGAACGGAGUGGCGAACGGGUGAGUAACACGUGGGUGAUCUGCCUUGCACUUCGGGAUAAGCUUGGGAAACUGGGUCUAAUACCGGAUAGUGCAAGGUUAUCUGGCGGCCUAUCAGCUUGUGGGUGGGGUAAUGGCCUACCAAGGCGUGGACGGGUAGCCGGCCUGGGAGGGUGUACGGCCACAGUGGGACUGGGAUACGGCCCAGACUGCAACGGGAGGCAGGAGUGGGGAAUAUUGCACAAUGGGCGGAAGCCUGGUGCAGCGACGCCGGGUGGGGGAUGAAGGCCUUCGGGGUGGAAACUCCUUUCGACAGGGACGCGGUACCUGUAUAAGAAGCACCGGCUAACUACGUGCCAGCGGCCGGGGUAAUA
rnacentral:rRNA from 1 species